CUUAUCGGUACUCGCGAAUGCAUNCAGAUUAUUUAUUUGAUCAUGGGCUCAGAAACGAACGCUGGCGUGCAUGCCUACACAUGCAAGUCGAACGAGACUUCGGGUCUAGUGGCGCACGGGUGCGUAACGCGUGGGAACCUGCCUUUAGGUUCGGAAUAACUCAGAGAAAUUUGAGCUAAUACCGGAUGAUGUCUUCGGACCAAAGAUUUAUCGCCUUUAGAUGGGCCCGCGUUGGAUUAGCUAGUUGGUGGGGUAAAGGCCUACCAAGGCGACGAUCCAUAGCUGGUCUGAGAGGAUGAUCAGCCACACUGGGACUGAGACACGGCCCAGACUCCUAUGGGAGGCAGCAGUGGGGAAUAUUGGACAAUGGGCGAAAGCCUGAUCCAGCAAUGCCGCGUGAGUGAUGAAGGCCUUAGGGUUGUAAAGCUCUUUUACCCGGGAUGAUAAUGACAGUACCGGGAGAAUAAGCUCCGGCUAACUCCGUGCCAGCAGCCGCGGUAAUACGGAGGGAGCUACGUUGUUCGGAAUUACUGGGCGUAAAGCGCGCGUAAGCGGGGAAUCAAGUCAGACGGUGAAAGCCCNGGGCUCAACCCCGGAACUGCUUUGGAAACUAGAUUGUAGAAAUCCUGGANAGGCGAAGUUGGAAAUUCCCNAAGUUGGUUAAACGGUGACACUUCGGAGAAUAUUUCGGGAGAACACCCAGUGGGCGAAAGCGG
rnacentral:rRNA from 1 species